GACGAACGCUGGCGGCGUGCUUAACACAUGCAAGUCGAACGGAAAGGCCCUGCUUUUGUGGGGUGCUCGAGUGGCGAACGGGUGAGUAACACGUGAGUAACCUGCCCUUGACUUUGGGAUAACUUCAGGAAACUGGGGCUAAUACCGGAUAGGAGCUCCUGCUGCAUGGUGGGGGUUGGAAAGUUUCGGCGGUUGGGGAUGGACUCGCGGCUUAUCAGCUUGUUGGUGGGGUAGUGGCUUACCAAGGCUUUGACGGGUAGCCGGCCUGAGAGGGUGACCGGCCACAAUGGGACUGAGGUACGGCCCAGACUCCUACGGGAGGCAGCAGGGGGGAAUAUUGCACAAUGGGCGGAAGCCUGAUGAAGCAACGCCGCGUGCGGGAUGACGGCCUUCGGGUUGUAAACCGCUUUCGCCUGUGACGAAGCGUGAGUGACGGUAAUGGGUAAAGAAGCACCGGCUAACUACGUG
rnacentral:rRNA from 1 species